rnacentral:lncRNA from 1 species
CGUUUGCUGAGCUGGAGGAGAAGAUCCGCAGCGACCGAGCCAUCGAGCUGCCCAGCCGGCCCCCGCUGUCCCCAGAGUGCCGAGAUCUCCUGCAACGCCUCCUGGAGAGGGACCCCUUGAAGCGCAUCUCCUUCGAGGAGUUCUUCGCCCAUCCCUUUGUGGACAUGGAGCACAUGCCCGGCCCCGAGAGCUUCUGCAAGGCGACCAACCUGGUGGUGGAGGCAG